rnacentral:rRNA from 1 species
AGUGAACGCUGGCGGUAGGCCUAACACAUGCAAGUCGAACGGCAGCACAGUAAGAGCUUGCUCUUACGGGUGGCGAGUGGCGGACGGGUGAGGAAUACAUCGGAAUCUACUUUUUCGUGGGGGAUAACGUAGGGAAACUUACGCUAAUACCGCAUACGACCUACGGGUGAAAGCAGGGGAUCCUCGGACCUUGCGCGAUUGAAUGAGCCGAUGUCGGAUUAGCUAGUUGGCGGGGUAAAGGCCCACCAAGGCGACGAUCCGUAGCUGGUCUGAGAGGAUGAUCAGCCACACUGGAACUGAGACACGGUCCAGACUCCUACGGGAGGCGGCAGUGGGGAAUAUUGGACAAUGGGCGCAAGCCUGAUCCAGCCAUACCGCGUGGGUGAAGAAGGCCUUCGGGUUGUAAAGCCCUUUUGUUGGGAAAGAAAAGCAGCAGGUUAAUACCCCGCUGUUCUGACGGUACCCAAAGAAUAAGCACCGGCUAACUUCGUG